rnacentral:lncRNA from 1 species
AUGGGCUGCAAACUCACUCAAACAUGCCAUGUUGGAGCCAACAUAAAUGGGGUGACAAAGCACAAUGGGCUCUUCAAGUGGGAGAGACUUUGGAUGAUCUGCCUCUUCUGGAGUGGACAAGGAGUCCUUCCCCAGACUCUACAGGAGCAGGGACUCUGGAAGAAAUCUGCUUGUGGAGGCCACAGAAAGGAGAGAAAGCAUGCAACCAACCCUCCUGUUAAUCUUACUGAAGAAGAGAAGGUUGAGCAAGAGGCCGCUGGCGGGAGCAGCGCUGCAGCCAUCGAUUGGGUAAUUGGAAGCCCUCGGGUGUGA